rnacentral:tRNA from 1 species
GCCCCCGUAGCUCAGCUGGAUAGAGCGUCCCCCUCCUAAGGGGAAGGUCAUAGGUUCGAACCCUAUCGGGGGCACCA